rnacentral:rRNA from 1 species
UACGAAGGCCCCAAGCGUUAUCCGGAUUUAUUGGGCGUAAAGCGUGCGUAGGAGGUUUGGUAAGUUUGUUGUUAAAUUUCACUGCUUAACGGUGGAGCCGCAACGAAUACUGCCGAACUAGAGUGUGCGAGAGGCUAAUAGAACUCACGGUGUAGGGGUGAAAUCCGUUGAUAUCGUGGGGAAUACCAAAGGCGAAGGCAUUUAGCUGGCGCAUUACUGACUCUAAGGCACGAAAGCGUGGGGAG